rnacentral:rRNA from 1 species
AACGAACGCUGGCGGCAUGCCUAACACAUGCAAGUCGAACGAAGUGGCGCACGGGUGCGUAACGCGUGGGACUCUGACCUUAGGUUCGGAAUAACAGCUGGAAACGGGAGCUAAUACCGGAUGCCUGAGGCUGAGCCAGCGUUGGAUUAGGUAGUUGGUGGGGUAAAGGCCUACCAAUCCGAAGAUCCAUAGCUGGUCUGAGAGGAUGAUCAGCAACACUGGGACUAGGACACGGCCCAGACUCCUACGGGAUGCAGCAGUGGGGAAUAUUGGACAAUGGGCGAAAGCCUGAACCAUCAAGGCCGCGAGAGUGAUGAAGGCCCUAGGGUUGUAAAGCUCUUUUACCCGGGAAGCUGUACCGGGAGAAUAAGCCCCGGCUAACUCCGUGCCAGCAGCCGCGGUAAUAC